GUCUGUCUAUGUUGCCCAGUCUGGAGUGCAGUAGCUAUUCACAGGCAGAAUCAUAGUGUACUACAACCUUGAACUCCUGGGCUCAAGUGAUCCUCCUGCCUCAGCCUCCCUCAUAGCUGGGACUACAGCAAUGGAUGAGAGCUUCAACUGCCCCACAUCCUUCCCUGCACAGUAUUGUCGGUUUCCUUCAUUCUAAUAGGUACAUGCUGGUGUCUCAUUGUGGUUUUAACUUAUAUAUCUCCCUAAUGACUAAUGAUGUUGAAAAUCUUUUCAUGUGCUUAUUUGCCAUGUAUGUAACUUCUUUAAAGUGGCUUUUCAAACCUUUUGCCCGUUUUUAAAGUAGGAUUGUUUUUGUUUUUAGUUGGGAAGUUUCUUUAUAUAUUCUGGAUAGAAGUUCUGUUUUUUGUUUUUGUUUUUGUUUUUGUUUUUUUGAGACAGGGUCUCGCUCUGUCACCCAGGCUAGAGUCAGACUAGAGUGCAGUGGCACGAUCUUGGCUCACUGAAACCUCCACCUCCUGGGCUCAAGGGAUUCUCCCACCCUGUCUCCAGAGUAGCUGGGACCACAGGCAUGCGCCACCACAUCUGGCUAAUGUUUGUAUUUUUUGUAGAGACAGAGUUUUGCCAUGUUGCCCAGGCUGGUCUUGGAACACCUGGGUUCAAGCAAUCCGCCCACCUGGGCCUCCCAGAGUGCUGGGAUGGAUUACAGGCGUGAUAAGUCUUUUAUCGGAUAUGUUUUGCAUAUAUUCUCCCAAAUUACAACUUGUCUUUUCUCAACAGUACUUUUCAAAUAAUAGACAUUUUCAACUUUGAUAAACCUAAUUUAUCAAUUUUUGUUUGUUUGUUUGUUUGUUUUUGAGACGGAGUCUUGCUCUGUCGCCUCGGCUGGAGUGCAGUGGUGCAAUCUCGGCUCACUGCAAGCUCCGCCUCCCGGGCUCACGCCAUUCUCCUGCCCCAGCCUCCCGAGUAGCUGGGACUACAGGCGCCCACCACCACGCCAGGCUAAAUUUUUUUGUAUUUUUAGUAGAGAUGGGGUUUCACCAUGUAAGCCAGGAUGGUCUCAACCUCCCGACCUCGUGAUCCACCCCCCUCGGCCUCCCAAAGUGCUGGGAUUAUAGGCGUGAGCCACCGCGCCCAGCCUAAUUUAUCAAUUUUUAAAUGAUUAGUUCUUUUUGUGUUCCAAGAUACACACCUUAUCCAAGGCCACAAAGAUUUUCUCCUGUGUUCUCUAGAAGUCUUAUAGUUUUAAAUUUUACAUUUAUGUCUGUGAUCCAUUUUCCAUUUUGAGUUAAAUUUUUUCUAAUAAGAGGUAUUUGAUUGAGGUUCAUCUUUUUUUUUUUUUUUUUUUUUUUUUGAGGCAGAGUCUGGCUCUGUCUCCCAGGCUGGAGUGCAGUGGCGCGAUCUCAGCUCACUGCAACCCCCUGCCUCCCGGGUUCAAGCAAUUCUCCUGCCUCAGCCUCCCUAGUAGCUGGGAUUACAGGCACCUGCCACUAUGCCCAGCUAAUUUUUGUAUUUUUAGUAGAGACAGGGUUUUACCAUAUUGGCCAGGCUGGUCUCAAACUGCUGACCUCAUGAUCUGCCCGCCUCGGCCUCCCAAAGUGCCUGAUUACAGGCAUGAGCCACCGUGCCUGGCCGAGGUUCAUUUGUUCAUCUUUUUCACAUAGAGAUGUCUUUUUAUUUUUUUUGAGACAAAGUCUCGCUCUUGUCCCCCAGGUUGGAGUGCAGUGGCGCGAUCUUGGCUCACUGCAACCUCCGCCUCCUGGGUUCAAGCGAUUCUCCUGCCUUAGUCCCCCGAGUAGCUGGGAUUACAGGCACCUGCCACCAAGCCUGGCUAGUUUUGGUAUUUUUAGUAGAGACAGGGUUUCACCAUGUUGGCCAGGCUGGUCUCAAACCCUGACCUCAGGUGAUCCACCCGCCUUGGCCUCCCAAAGUGCUGGGAUUACAGGCGUGAAUCACCGCGCCUGGCCAGAGCUGUCUUAAUUGUUCCAGCACCAUUCGUUGAAAAGCCCUUUGGUUUUCUUUUUUCUUCUGUUUUUCAUCUUUGUCUCUUUUUUUUUAAUUUCUUUCUGUAUUUCCUGGGAGAUUUUCUCAAGUACUGUCUGGUAUAUUUCAUUUUCACUUCUAGUUUCUUAUUUUUAAUUUCAGGAACUUUUUACUUCUUCCUUUACUGUUCCUUUUUUACAGACAAUACCCUGUACUGCUUUCAUGGUCAUAAUAUCCUCAUCAUUUGGAAGAUCUUUUUCUUCUUCUCUCUGCUCAGUCUCUGUUUCAUGUGAGGUGUGUUUUAUCUAUAUAUUUCAGUGUCUACUUUUUCAUGAUGACUGUUUCUCAGAUGUCUGUAAUCCUUGCCUGGCCACUCAGAUUUAAGAGUGAGUGACUAAAAAGUUGAGUGGAAGCUGUAAACACAUGAGUGGGGCUUGUCUAUUCUGACCUUAACUAUGUAUCUUUAGUGGUCUAUGUCAGCAUCCUGAGAACUUUCCUCCCGGUCUGGCCAGAUUUUGCAGAGAGGGAUCCUCUAAACUCCUGCCUAGGUGCUGGAGGUCUGACUCAGUGUUCUGGAAUCUAGGUGGAGGAAAGGGUGAGGGAGGUCUCAGGACCCAGAAUACCUGCUUCCACUUAAUGCUUCUGUUUUCAUUAUGGCAUCCCCUCCCUUAACUGUGGCCCUUAUCCAUUUGAGCAUUUCUCAUGCCUAACCUGGCAGGCAUUGUUAACUGAGUAAAUGAACUGUGUAGUUUGUUAUUUGUUGCAAAGAAACUUUUGAGCAUUCACUCUCAAUAUGUAUAUAUCUAUUUAGAAAUUGCAUACUUUACUGUUUUAUUAAAUAUAUUAUGUACAUUGUAAAGCAAAUACAAAAGUAAUAAAUGCUGAGAUAAAAAUGAAA